rnacentral:rRNA from 1 species
AUUGAACGCUGGCGGCAGGCUUAACACAUGCAAGUCGAGCGGAGAUGAGGUGCUUGCACCUUAUCUUAGCGGCGGACGGGUGAGUAAUGCUUAGGAAUCUGCCUAUUAGUGGGGGACAACAUUCCGAAAGGAAUGCUAAUACCGCAUACGUCCUACGGGAGAAAGCAGGGGAUCUUCGGACCUUGCGCUAAUAGAUGAGCCUAAGUCGGAUUAGCUAGUUGGUGGGGUAAAGGCCUACCAAGGCGAUGAUCUGUAGCGGGUCUGAGAGGAUGAUCCGCCACACUGGGACUGAGACACGGCCCAGACUCCUACGGGAGGCAGCAGUGGGGAAUAUUGGACAAUGGGGGGAACCCUGAUCCAGCCAUGCCGCGUGUGUGAAGAAGGCCUUAUGGUUGUAAAGCACUUUAAGCGAGGAGGAGGCUACUGAGACUAAUACUCUUGGAUAGUGGACGUUACUCGCAGAAUAAGCACCGGCUAACUCUGUGCCAGCAGCCGCCGCAG